CAUAUGCUCGUUGCAGUGUAGCAGACCAGAGUAUCUGGUGGGAAUCGAACCCACAACCCCCAGAUACACUACCAAGAUUAUUAUUAUAGUAACGAUAAAAUGGAUUUAUAUUGGAGGAAAUGUUAUAAAUGUAGAUUUCAGCAAAUUGAGGGAUCAAAGUCUUUAUCCGAGAUGUUAAAAUUAUGUCCUGAAUACAUAAAAUCUUCCAUUGACAUAGAUUUUGAUCUGAAGCUAAACCAAUGAAAACCAAUUGGGUUCAGACUAAAGUACCAAACGUUUCUGUUACAACAAUGCUGAAAAAUUUGAAGUCGUGCAAUGAUGAAUCAAGGAUAUUUUCUAUUCAAUAUUUCCUACAUUACUUGUUUCCACCUCAGCAGAAAUUAGUUACUGAUAAAGCCGGAGCCCAAACCAGAAAAAAGUUUACCGUAACAGAUUCCCAUAAUUCGUUUGCCAUAGUUACAGACACCAAAAAGAAGCUGAAUAUGAAAUUUAAACUUCUUAAACUUCAAAAUAGUACAAUCCAACCAAGGUUGCU